AAUAAAGGGGACCAGGGCAGAGGCUGGCAGCACUGUCCACCUGCGCUGAAGACUAAGCCCUGGGAUUCACACCCUUAGGGUGAAUACUGCACCACACUAAAUCCUAUCCUCAGGCCUUUCAGUACCCAAGGUGGUUUGGAUGAGAAGGCUUCCAUAGACUCAUAUAUUUGAAUGCUUAGUCACUGGGAACUGCCACUAUUUGAAAGGAUUGGAAGAUAUGACAUUGUUAGAUGAAGUGGUGUCACCAAAGGUAGGUUUUAAGGUUGGACAGAUCCAGCGAGAGGAUGGUCUGUGUUAUUCAACACUGUCCAGUGUUGCAGCACAUCUGGUGACCUU
rnacentral:lncRNA from 1 species